rnacentral:snRNA from 1 species
AAUGGUUACAGCGGUCCAAACGAA